AAAUCAGGGGAGGCAUUUUUCCUGCAGUACAAGUACCCUAAAUGUCCUCAACCAAAACGUAUUACAGAUAUGGAUCCAGCUCAAAACACUGUUGAAGAUCUGAUGUUGAGGAUCUGUCAGCUUGAAAACGUGGGCAGCACCACAGGAGUCUGUCUCUACACAAUUGACGGGAUGCCCUGGACAGAUGAUUCUUUCUUCAACACGUGGUCUCUGAAAGAGAGAUACAUUCAAAGUGGAGAUAUGAUCUAUGCCAUUUUUACACCAAAGGAAAACCUGAAAUAUGCUCCCAAGACGCUCAAAGUUGAGUUUGUCGAAACACCUGGAGAGGAGGUUAUCCGAUGCCACAUCAUGCUCAGGGGAGACUUCGACGUGAUGGUGAACUUAAAAAGCGACACCAUAACCAGUCUUAGACUCAAGUUGGUAAUGCAAGUGGAAUUCCAGCACACGUCCUUCAAUACAAAGGUCAACGUGAUGGAUGUGACAAACUGGAAAGCUGUGGAAUCUCUGAGGGGUCAACAGUUGCCUUCUCUUUAUACACAGAUGAUGAUAUUUCAUUCAAUGAUGAGUUCUUCAUUAAUGAUGUUGUGCCUUCAGUCCAGCAAACCCAGAAAGGAAGCAGUGUGUUCCUGUCCUCACUUUACGUUGUUAAAGAGCAUCAUUCAGAAAUACAAAAGAAAUUGAUUGGCUACAUCCGAAGACUGACUGGAUGUAACCCUCUUGCCCAAAGUUUGCAUCAGCUACUCAGCAGGAAUGAAAGCAUGACAAGGAAUCAAAAGAUUUCAAUAGUUGAAGGCUUGUACGUGCUCUUCAGAGAGCUUUUGCCCCAACUUGGCUCAGAACGAAAGGAGAAAGUCAUCAAGGACGUGCAUGUCUUUGAGAAUUCAUUGUACUGCUGGGCACAUCUCAUCUCAACAGCACAGCAACAAACAUCAGACUUUGAGAACUACGCAGAAGUCUCUCUCACAUCUCAAGACAGCAGCCGUUUCUGUGAACCAGUGAGAGUGCCUGGAGUGCCAGGUGCCUUUGAACGAGCAUACAUUCUCCAGAGAAUCAAAGAUGGGGUGAAAAUUCCAAACUGCACAGAAAAGAUUUUGCGAGAGACCUCAUUACAGAGAGCCACUGACAUUGAGAAAAUCCUGCUCAGCUUGCCUCCUUUCAUUAAGACCUAUAGUCUCUGGAUUAGUAGUGAAAAGACAACCGGUCAGAACUUUCAGGUCAAUGAACAGUUGACUUUUGGAGAAAUGGUUGAAAGAUUGAAGUCUUUCCCUCAUCUCAAUGUGACCCCACCCCUGCAUCUGAAGAAGCUUGGAGAGAAUGAGGUCUCCCUUGUUCUGCUGA